UCCAACGCUGGACAUCACUACUAAAGAGGUACUGUCGGUGAGUAUCACCGUUUAGUUUUUUUAUACUCUAUAGAUUUAUUUAUAUGGACAGCGCAGAUUCAUCUAUUACUUCGACUAAUGUGACUGUAGCAACAUUCACUCCAUUCAUUUUUUGGGGAAACUACAAUAUUCAUUUUGUUCACCUGAACAUUGAAUUAAGGAAUGCAGAAGGUUCAGGGCUUAUGCAAAUUAUUGAAAUUUAAUAUUUGGGGACAAUGGAGAAACACAGGCAGCAGUGUUGAAUUUACACCCGUUGUUGCGCCUGCAGCUCUUCGGCAUCCUUAGCAUGAUAAGCCCAAACACGAAGAUUAUACGCCGCCAUGGAUUUGUGUGGCUGUUUACUUGUUGUCAUCAAACACUUUUUUCCUUAAUAUGUGCAGCUUUUUUGGGGCGUCCAUGGAUGCAAAGGAAUCCCAUGAGUACAAUGUACACUGACAUCAUCUUCAUCAAAUUUUUCAAGCUCAGCAAGUGUGAGGUAACUAAUGCAUGUGUAUUAUCUAUUUCAUCGAAGUGUAAGAUUUCUCCCCUUCUCUUGUUUGUGUUCAAUGGUUGUUGUGGUUUUUGGUUUUGCGUUUCAAUAGUGACAUGUAUUCUGAUUAGGCACUUGCAUAGGUACUGUGUAGAGCUGGAACUUCUAAUAAAAAAUGAUCUAUGCAGUAAAGCAAAGGAGAGAGACUGCAACCUUUUCAGGCUUGAAUCUAUCCCCAUUCUGAAUCUACUUGGUUAUUGAUUCUCAUUUUCAGCAUAUGAAGACCACAUGCUAUUUUUUUUCUAUGCUCUCCUCUUCGGCUCUUCCAUUAUGAUUCAGCAUAUGCUAACUGCUACUUUAGCUUUCAUGCUUGUAUCCUUGGUUAUAUUUUGCAGCGAUCCAAAUUUAGGAUUUGUGUUGAUAUCCGAAGUUCCUAAUGACGAUUGGUCCUUAUUAGUUUCUUUAAAGGAAGCACAACAAGUGGUUGUACUAGGAAGAUUACCUUCACAUGGGAGUUUCUUUUUUCUAAGAACAGGGGAGUCUUUAUUAUUUCACUUGAAAAGAUGAUGUACGCAUUUAAAGUGUAGAAUUUCCAUUUGUAUAUUCAUAUUGUGCUUAACUUUUACUUUCUAAAAAUCAAUAUUGGCUGGCGGUUUGGCCAAUUAUUUAAUAAAUAAAAACCUCAGGUGUUGAUCCCUUUGAUCUCUAGCCAUAUGACUUCCCAUUCAAGAUAUGACGGGGCAUGGAUGUGAUACACCCACAUACAGAGAUGUUUAGGUGUAAAGUUGGGACGAGCAGGCUUGUAGAUGAAGUGUUUGUACUUAUGGCUCAACAAAACUGACUACUCUAGCCUUGCCACCAUUAGUGUAGUGUUAUUAUCUUCCGUCCCAUGUUUUGUUGAAAGAUCUUCCAGAUUCAUGACCCGCCUUAAAAAAAGUACAAUGCAAAUACAACCAUUUAUCGUUACAGCUGAGGGAUUUAGUGUAGAAAGCUACUUUACAAGUAGUCUCAAGCAGGAGGAUAACAGAUUGGUUGAGACGUUAGGGAUCCCCAUCAGUGUUAUAUUAUUUGUCUGCAGGUAUAUUCUCAGCUCCAAAUUCUAGAUAUUAUAGUGAGUAGAUGAGGUGAAAGUAU
rnacentral:lncRNA from 1 species